rnacentral:rRNA from 1 species
GCUCAGAGCGAACGCUGGCGGCAUGCUUAACACAUGCAAGUCGCACGGGCAGUAGCAAUACUGUCAGUGGCGGACGGGUGAGUAACGCGUAGGAAUCUAUCCUUGGAUGGGGGACAACCGUGGGAAACUACGGCUAAUACCGCAUAAUGCCUGAGGGCCAAAGACGUAAGUCGUCUGGGGAGGAGCCUGCGUCUGAUUAGGUAGUUGGUGGGGUAAAGGCCUACCAAGCCUGCGAUCAGUAGCUGGUCUGAGAGGAUGAUCAGCCACAUUGGGACUGAGACACGGCCCAAACNUCUACGGGAGGCAGCAGUGGGGAAUAUUGGACAAUGGGGGCAACCCUGAUCCAGCAAUGCCGCGUGGGUGAAGAAGGUUUUCGGAUUGUAAAGCCCUUUUGGCGGGGACGAUGAUGACGGUACCCGCAGAAUAAGCUCCGGCUAACUUCGUGCCAGCAGCA